UACGUAGGGUGCAAGCGUUGUCCGGAAUUAUUGGGCGUAAAGAGCUCGUAGGCGGUCUGUCGCGUCGAAUGUGAAAAUCCGGGGCUCAACCCCCGGACCUGCAUUCGAUACGGGCAGACUAGAGUUCGGUAGGGGAGUCUGGAAUUCCUGGUGUAGCGGUGAAAUGCGCAGAUAUCAGGAGGAACACCGGGUCGGCGAAGGCGGGUCU
rnacentral:rRNA from 1 species